rnacentral:rRNA from 1 species
GACGAACGCUGCGGGGCUGCCUAACACAUGCAAGUCAACGGGGUUGUCCUUCGGGGGACAACUUAGUGGCGAACGGGUGAGUAACGCGUGAGCAACCUGCCUUUCAGAGGGGGGACAACGAGUUGGAAACGACUGCUAAUACCGCAUAACACAUCGAGGGGGGCAUCCUCUUGAUGUCAAAGAUUUAUCGCUGAAAGAUGGGCUCGCGUCUGAUUAGAUAGUUGGUGAGGUAACGGCUCACCAAGUCGACGAUCAGUAGCCGGACUGAGAGGUUGAACGGCCACAUUGGAACUGAGAUACGGUCCAGACUCCUACGGGAGGCAGCAGUGGGGAAUAUUGGGCAAUGGGCGAAAGCCUGACCCAGCGACGCCGCGUGAGGGAAGAAGGUCUUCGGAUUGUAAACCUUUGUUGAUAGGGAUGAACAGAUGACGGUACCUAUCGAGGAAGCCACGGCUAACUACGUG